GCAGCAUACCGGUCUGUCGCUCGUGCGAAAUAAAACGGGAGGAAAGUCCGGGCAACACAGAGCGCCACGCUUCUUAACGAAAAGCUGUUCGCGAGGGCAGAGUAGCGUAACAGAAAAUAACCGCAGCGAAAGUUGUAAGGGUGAAAAGGUGAGGUAAGCGCUUACCGCUUCCGGCGGAAUCCGGAAGGUCAGUACGCCUCGUGGGUUGUAAGGUCAAAUAAACCGGCGCAUGUAGAGUUGCUCGCUCGAUGUCGGAGGGUGGACUGCUAAUGGAAUUUGUCGGCAACGACAAAUCAAGAUAAAUGACAGGCACAUCAUGCCCAUAAAGCGUGAUGAACAGAACCCGGCUUACAGGUAGGCUGCCUUU
rnacentral:RNase_P_RNA from 1 species